GACUAACGCUGGCGGCGUGCUUAACACAUGCAAGUCGAACGGAAAGGCCCUGCUUUUGUUGGGUGCUCGAGUGGCGAACGGGUGAGUAACACGUGAGUAACCUGCCCUUGACUUUGGGAUAACUUCAGGAAACUGGGGCUAAUACCUGAUAGGAGCUCCUGCUGCAUGGUGGGGGUUGGAAAGUUUCGGCGGUUGGGGAUGGACUCGCGGCUUAUCAGCUUGUUGGUGGGGUAGUGGCUUACCAAGGCUUUGACGGGUAGCCGGCCUGAGAGGGUGACCGGCCACAUUGGGACUGAGAUACGGCCCAGACUCCUACGGGAGGCAUCAGUGGGGAAUAUUGCACAAUGGGCGGAAGCCUGAUGCAGCAACGCCGCGUGCGGGAUGACGGCCUUCGGGUUGUAAACCGCUUUCGCCUGUGACGAAGCGUGAGUGACGGUAAUGGGUAAAGAAGCACCGGCUAACUACGUG
rnacentral:rRNA from 1 species